UACGAAGGAUGCAAGCGUUAUCCGGAUUUAUUGGGUUUAAAGGGUGCGUAGGCGGCUUAUUAAGUCAGUGGUGAAAGCCUCAAGCUUAACUUGGGAACUGCCAUUGAUACUGAUGAGCUUGAGUACAUUUGAGGUGGGCGGAAUGUGUCAUGUAGCGGUGAAAUGCUUAGAUAUGACACAGAACACCGAUUGCGAAGGCAGCUCACUAAACUGUAACUGACGCUGAGGCACGAAAGCGUGGGGAUCAAACAGG
rnacentral:rRNA from 1 species